GCGGGGGUCGCCGAGCCAGGUCAAAGGCGCAGGGCUUAGGACCCUGUCUCGUAGGAGUUCGAGGGUUCGAAUCCCUCUCCCCGCACCA
rnacentral:tRNA from 2 species